rnacentral:rRNA from 1 species
GUAGUCUCGCACAGAUGCAUAUCAAUAAGCGGAGGAAAAGAGACUAACAAGGAUUCCCCUAGUAACGGCGAGUGAAGCGGGAAGAGCUCAAAUUUGAAAUCUUAAAGGGUUUCCCUUUACGAAUUGUAGUUUAAAGAAGUGUUUUCUGUUGAGGUUUUGGUAAAAGUUCUUUGGAAUAGGACAUCAUAGAGGGUGAGAAUCCCGUAUUUGACCUUUACUUUCAACUUUGUGAUACACUUUCAAAGAGUCGGAUUGUUUGGGAAUGCAGUCCAAAAUGGGUGGUAAAUUUCAUCUAAAGCUAAAUAUUGGCGAGAGACCGAUAGCGAACAAGUACCGUGAGGGAAAGAUGAAAAGAACUUUUGAAAAGAGAGUUAAACAGUACGUGAAAUUGUCAAAAGGGAAGCGUUUGACACCAGUGUUGUUUUUCUGAAAAUCAAUUAAAGAACUGUUUAUGCUAAGUUGUUUAGACUUUAUCAGCUAACUGUUUAGUUUUGAGCUUUUCCUUAAUGCACUUUUCAGUUAACAAGUCAACAUCAAUUUCUUUUGCUGUAAAAAAGCUCGAGGAAGGUGGCUUGAGAUUCGUCUUAAGUGUUUAUAGCCUCCUUGCCUAUGCAGUCGGAGAGAUUGAGGUCUGCAGCGUAGAUCCUUCGGGGCUAAAUGCAUUUGUGCUAAGUUAUAGCAUUUUAUAGACAACUUGUUGACUAUGAUUUGUCUCGUAGCUUACUCGCUUAUGUUAUUUUACCUACGCUUAGGAUGUUGAUCUGUAGUGCGUGCGCC